AUUGAACGCUGGCGGCAGGCCUAACACAUGCAAGUCGAGCGGAUGAAGGGAGCUUGCUCCUGGAUUCAGCGGCGGACGGGUGAGUAAUGCCUAGGAAUCUGCCUGGUAGUGGGGGAUAACGUCCGGAAACGGGCGCUAAUACCGCAUACGUCCUGAGGGAGAAAGUGGGGGAUCUUCGGACCUCACGCUAUCAGAUGAGCCUAGGUCGGAUUAGCUAGUUGGUGGGGUAAAGGCCUACCAAGGCGACGAUCCGUAACUGGUCUGAGAGGAUGAUCAGUCACAGUGGAACUGAGACACGGGCCAGACGACGACGGGAGGCAGCAGGGGGGAAUGUGGAGAAAGGGGCGAAAGCUUGACAGAGCAAAGCCGCGUGGGUGAAGAAGGUCUUCGGAUCGUAAAACUCUGUUAGUGGGGAAGAAAAAAUGUGUAAGGAAAUAGGCACGUCUGGACGGUACCUAAUCAGAAAGCCACGGCUAACUACGUG
rnacentral:rRNA from 1 species